ensembl:snoRNA small nucleolar RNA SNORD66
UACCCUUGUAGACUUCCUAGGUGUGCCCAGAUGUCUGGGGCACAGAAAGCGGUGAGGUUCUGAGGACCAGAGGGA